ACUUACGCUUAAUAUCCCUAUGCAUCUGCUCGUAUACUACGAGCGCAAGCUUAAAACCCAAAAGAUUUGGCGGCGCUUUAAACUUCCUAGAGGAGCUUGUCCUGUAAUCGAUAAUCCCCGCUAGACCUUACCUUCUUUAGCCUUCAGCCUAUAUACCGCCGUCGCCAGUUCACCCUUCGAAGACCCAACAGUAAGCAAGACCGGCUUUAGCCCAAACGUCAGGUCAAGGUAUAGCACACAAGAAGUGAAGAGAUGAGCUACAUUUCCUGCUUAGGAAUUACAGAAAAUCUUUUGAAACAAAGACUAAAGUAGGAUUUAGCAGUAAGUAAAAAAUAGAGUGUUUUACUGAAGAUCAAGUUAAAACGCGCACACACCGCCCGUCGCUCUCUCCUAAUACCCACUUAAACCAUUAAUAAGCCACAUGGAUCAUCAACAGGGGGAGGAAAGUCGUAACAUGGUAAGUGUACUGGAAAGUGCACUUGGUUAAACAGAAUAUAGCUAAAAGA
rnacentral:rRNA from 1 species